CAGUAGCCACGGUAAUACGUAGGGUGCAAGCGUUAAUCGGAAUUACUGGGCGUAAAGCGUGCGCAGGCGGUUCUAUAAGACAGAUGUGAAAUCCCCGGGCUCAACCUGGGAACUGCAUUUGUGACUGUAGAGCUGGAGUGCGGCAGAGGGGGAUGGAAUUCCGCGUGUAGCAGUGAAAUGCGUAGAUAUGCGGAGGAACACCGAUGGCGAAGGCAAUCCCCUGGGCCUGCACUGACGCUCAUGCACGAAAGCGUGGGGAGCAAACGGGAUUAGAUACCCCGGUAGUCCCUGUCUCUUAUAC
rnacentral:rRNA from 1 species